GUAUAGGAUUCUGUUCCCAUUUGCUGGUCUGAAAAUCCAAACAAUAGUGAGGGCUGAAAAAUUUCCAGCACUGGCAUAAUCUCAAUGCCAUUGACAAAAGCAAAAAGGUCAUUGUAUGUGGAUGACAUUGUCAAUGUGAGAUUGAGGAUACUGGAUUUUGUCGUCAUCAUAGUGAAAUCUCUAACUAUAUAAGCCUAUGUAAGUGCUUGAGUAGUAAUGGAUGCACUGAAAUUGUUAAGAAUGAAAUUACUUGUAGUUACAAAGAAAAAACUUAGGAGCGAUCAAAGAAAAUGUAAGACGAUGGGUAAAAUGAAGUCUCAUCCAGUAACGGAAAAUGGGAGAACAGAGAAUUUGAAAAAUUGCAGUCAUGUACGGAAUGGUGGAAGGCAAUGAAGAAUCUUGAGACUCAACAAUGGAGGACGCAGAGUUAUAUGAAGAGAUGAAAAUUUUGGUAUCGAGAAUGAAUGAUGAUGGUGCAAGCAAAGACUGAGAAUGAGGUUUUGUGAUCUAGGGCAAUAGAGACAGAACAAAAAUUAUAGGUGGAGGCAAAGAUGGUGGAGAAAUUGGUUGGGGUAGUUGGAUCAAUUUGGAGUUUUAAAAACCUAUUAAAUACUGUCUUAGGAGGUUUUACUUUGUUUUAGGGUACUAAUCUAAUUUGUUGCUUUUUUAGAGUAGAGGGCCUAAUUUCCUCUUUAGGAUUUCUGAUUCAUUUGUUCACGUAAUUCCAUUCCUGUAACCCCACCAUUCCUUUGCAAACCAUUUCAAAGAAUUUCCAAAAAUCAAAAAUUAAAAUCCCUAAAUCUUUACCUUGUCCCUACCCAUAGCCGCCGGCCGAAUGGAACCGCUGAUUGUCGACUCACUGUUGGCCCUUGAGUGACGGACUCUCACCGAUUCAUCGCCUCACGCCUGGCUGUCAACUUGGGUUAGGUUUUACGAAAAGGAUUGAAGAUUGUGCCACAUCAAUUUUCGAUAUGCUUGCCAAAGAUUCCAUCUGUGAUGAUGCUAUCACUUGAGUUUUAGGUCCUGAACAUCAUGGGAGACUUAGGGGACUCGGAUUUGGAGUUGUACCAUCAAAGGUGGAUGGACAAAUACAAAGUAGGGGAAGAGUUAGAGAACUUGAAAGCCAAUUACAGAUUCAAGCACAAAGGGUGGGGGCAUUAGAAGAAAAAAUGGAAGCAUUUAUCAAAUUUUCUCAGCAGGCUAUAAAAUGUGGAGGAUAGAAAUUCAAAUGCUUUUACUCAGUCACACCAAGGAAGUACUACCCCCAAGACAAAUGCAAGAUGUCAACUGUUACAUUGGUACAUGUUUGAGGAGGAAUAAGUCGUCGCAGAAGGGAAGAUUGCCACAACAGACCCAAGUGCAAAGGUGCAUCACUCGCCACUCGAUCGAGACUGUUGAAUGGUUUGGCUUGAGGAAGUCUAUAUGGGUAAUUUGACUUCAUACAGACCCACAGAUGAAUUUCGCACUCUUAGUGAAGCCAUGGGAAGUAGUGUUGCUUGGCCAAAGAGUAGUAUUAGACAUAUUAAUUAAGAUCUCGUUGAUUGCAGGCCGAUCUUUCUCCAACAACAAGUUUCUUUUUCAAGUGAGAUUGAUGCAAGGCUCGUUGAAUAGAGAUUGUUCCAUUGGUAAUGGUAUUGAUUAAGUAACAUGAGACGGUUUCAAGAUUAAGUUUCGAUUUUUGUAGUUUCCUAAUUACAUUUUGGUAGUACAUGUUUGGAGACUUUUAAUUUAAUUUUGGAAAAGAUUAUGUGUUGAAUAUUUUACAAAAU